CAGCAGCCACGGUAAAACGUAGGUGGCAAGCGUUGUCCGGAAUUAUUGGGCGUAAAGGGCUCGCAGGCGGUUUCUUAAGUCUGAUGUGAAAGCCCCCGGCUCAACCGGGGAGGGUCAUUGGAAACUGGGAAACUUGAGUGCAGAAGGGGAGAGUGGAAUUCCACGUGUAGCGGUGAAAUGCGUAGAGAUGUGGAGGAACACCAGUGGCGAAGGCGACUCUCUGGUCUGUAACUGACGCUGAGGAGCGAAAGCGUGGGGAGCGAACAGGAUUAGAUACCCCCGUAGUCCCUGUCUCUUAUAC
rnacentral:rRNA from 1 species